UACGUAGGGGGCAAGCGUUGUCCGGAUUUAUUGGGCGUAAAGAGCGUGUAGGCGGCUAGGUAGGUCCGUUGUGAAAACUCGAGGCUCAACCUCGAGCUGUCGAUGGAAACCAUCUGGCUAGAGUCCGGAAGAGGAGAGUGGAAUUCCUGGUGUAGCGGUGAAAUGCGCAGAUAUCGGGAGGAACACCAGCGGCGAAGGCGGCACUCUGGGCUGGAACUGACGCUGAGGAGCGAAAGCGUGGGUAGCAACAGG
rnacentral:rRNA from 1 species